rnacentral:lncRNA from 1 species
CAUUUACACAGUUGGCCUUAGGUUAGUUCUGUAAUUCUCUUGAAGAACAAACUAACUAAUAUGCUGAAGUAUAGCAGAACACCACUCUGCCCAAUCUUCAGUAGCUGCUGUCAAUGAUGAAUGUCACAACAUCCAGUUUGACAUUCAAUCAGUAGGCCUUAUGCCAGGUCUGGUUCUUCCUUGAUAACCAGACUGCAAGUGAAUACUAAGUUCUAACAGAGCUUCUGUUCCUCAGUAUCUGUUGACAGGUA